CCAGCUCCAAUAGCGUAUAUUAAAGUUGUUGCAGUUAAAAAGCUCGUAGUUGAAUUUCUGGGCCCGUGGCUUCGCCCGCGAAAGCGCGGCGCGGCCGCGGGACCAUCCUCGCUGGGAACCGUCGGCCUUCACUGGUCGGCGUGGACCAGCGUCCUUUACUGUGAAAAAAUUAGAGUGUUUAAAGCAGGCGUUCCGCUUGAAUACAUUAGCAUGGAAUAAUGAGAUAGGACUUCGGUGCUAUUUUGUUGGUUGCGUACCGAGGUAAUGAUUAAUAGGGACAGUUGGGGGUAUUCAUAUUUAACUGUCAGAGGUGAAAUUCUUGGAUUUGUUAAAGAUGAACCACUGCGAAAGCAUUUACCAAGGAUGUUUUCA
rnacentral:rRNA from 1 species